UACUUUCAGAGUCGACAGGUUUCACCUAAGGCCAGCACUAAAGUCGACUUAUGGGCUGCUGCGUUAUAUGCAGAGCAAACGUUCAACUGGAA
rnacentral:tRNA from 1 species